UCUGACCAAUCCGUGCUAUUCGGGCCGAAAGCACGGAUUGGUCAGUCCUGCAGCCGCCACAGAGGGAAGGAAUGGCCGUAACAAAUGGAUGCCUCCCCGCCUGCCCCUUUGGAUGCUCUGCCACUGCAACCAGAUGCAGCAACCAGAUGCACACAGCUUGUCUCCUACCUUGCCGCUUCAAUAACUCUCAUUACGGCAAAUAAUGAAUCGGGAACUGUCCCAGCUGGCUGCUUUCCCUGAUCGAAGAAAGUCUCGGGCAGAAGUGCUGCUGGUUUGAAUGAGCGACAGAGGCAUCAGAGAAAGGCCAAUGGAUUUCGCUCUUCUGAUUUAAUGAGUCACUCACAUGCCAUGUUGGCACUGGCUCGCAGCAUCUGGCACUUGGGUGGCCAUGCACAUUCACACAGUUUACUUACAUUUCACCUCUGCCGUUACUCACUAUGAGUGAUUGCCUACUUAGCCCUGCUCUACAGGGCGUUUCCAUCCUAAAAACACACACACACACACAAACACAUUCAAGUAUUUGAUUGGUGCGAUUAUCUCAAUAUCACAGAGUAAAGAUUAACUCUAUUACAGCCCUCAUAUAGUGCCAGAAAAAUCUUUGAUUUAUAUGUGAAGAUUUGUGUUCACCCUGCAGGGUUAAUUAGUGGACAAUUACCAUUAAAACCUCUUUGCAACACUGUGAUAAUUACCCUCUUAUCACUUUCAUAAUCUGUGAUUCUGACCAGAAAGUUUGAUAUAUAGUAGUAGAACAGUUGAAGCUAAAGUGGCUGACGCUUUUGCUUUUGGAAAAUAACUCUAACGCUCUCUUAUAAACUUACAGAGCCUAUAGCUUAUAUUCAAAUAUAUGCACGUCAGAGCUCACCCAUCAUGAUUCUCUGGAUGGAUGUACGGCUAGCACUCUGUUAUAUACCUUGCUUACUGUUGGUUAAUUUUAAUGAUACAUUUUCACAAUUCUUCAUCACUCAUAUGAAGAUGAUUAAAGUAAAUUAGACAUAAUUUAAUUAAAAGUAUAAUGUCCCAAAUCUCUGUGUCAAAGGUAUUUGCAUAUCACCAACUUCUGCUUUUGCACUUGAAGAAUUUCCUAGAUUGAUUUCUGCUCGACAAGCCUCAUAAAUUACUUAUUAACAAGGAUGAAAAGAUAUCUAUUGUGAAAUUGAACACUUCCAGGAAUUAUGUGUUCUUAAUUAGUCACCUGGCAGCUUUUAAGUGUGUGUAUAAUUAGUGAUUACUUUGUCUGCUCAGUGUUGUGAAGAAAAAAAAAAAUCAGUACAGCAACAUUUUAUUGUUUAAAAGAUUGACAUCAAAAGUCACAGAAGAUGCAUUUUUACUGCCAUUACCUCACACAGCAGGGCUUCAGUGCUGCACUGUGAGGACUUUUUUCAAAUGGAGAAAUGUGUUCAGAGCUCUGUUACGCGACGUAAGCUCCAAAAACUAUUUGCCUAAAACUGAUCAAAAUAAACUGACUCAUCCACAAACCUCAUGUGUUUUCUGAAUUAUUACAAAGAAAGCUGAGGGGAACUUUUGCAUAAAAACAAUGUGCUUGAAGCUUAUCAUAUAUACAUUAAAAAAACAAGUAUUAUACUGAAAAGUAAUGCAUUUUGAGUUGGUCUUUUCGUUUCCUGAAACAAAUCCCACAUUUAGCUAUUUGAUUUAUACACAUUGACUCAACAUGAUAGAGAAAACCUUGCAUUGCAUUAAAUGUGACCCCAAACAAUGAACAUACGCAACAAUUAGAUGGAAAACUGUUUUAAAUACUUUAGUUUUUUGGGGCAUAGGUUUUAUAGCCACAAGUGUAAUACAUAUGCAGGAUAAAUUAAUGUUAACAAGGCUGGACUUUUCACAUUUCCCCUCUGCUGAGGUCAGUGCCCAAAAGUUUUACGUUUCUAAUCAUUACAUAUGUGAACCGACUCAGAUAUCUUCAGCGCUUAAAAAUGAGAGUGGUAUUUUGAAAUCUCUGAUAGUGUUUCCACGAGACCCCUGGGUUUUCUAUCAGCAAUAAUGAUGACUGACCAAUCCAUCUGUGGAUCAUUCAUUCCUCUCUAAUUAUCUCACAUGUGCACUCUGCCUGCCCGUGACAUUUAGCAAGGGCUUUUUCAGUAAGUCACAGGGUGGGCCAAGAUGCCAUUAGGUGAUAAGGUUCAUUUAUUGUGGGGCUCUCAUCAGCACAUUUUCCUGCCUUAAGGCAUAAAAUACAAUCCACAGUGAUUAGCAUCAGGCCCAUAUCAGGCGAAACAUAAUAGCCCCACUCUGAAGGUGAACCCUUUGAGGGCACAAUCUUUACUCGGCGCAGACAAUUGCCACAGAUUUUUUGCUGUUAGUGGAUUAUCUCUCUGGCUUUGUGUCCG